UUAGGAAUCUUCCACAAUGGGCGCAAGCCUGAUGGAGCGACACUGCAUGAGGGAUGACGGCCCUAGGGUUGUAAACCUCUGAACCAGGGACGAUAAUGACGGUACCUGGGUAAUAGCACCGGCUAACUCCGUGCCAGCAGCCGCGGUAAUACGGAGGGUGCGAGCGUUAUCCGGAAUCACUGGGCGUAAAGGGCACGUAGGCGGUCUACUAAGUCCGAUGUUAAAGCGUGGGGCUCAACCCCAUUAGAGCGUUGGAUACUGGCAGGCUUGACGACUGGAGAGGAAAGUAGAAUUACCAGUGUAGCGGUGAAAUGCGUAGAUACUGGUAGGAAUACCCAUUGCGAAGGCAGCUUUCUGGACAGUUUGUGACGCUGAGGUGCGAAAGUGUGGGGAGCAAACCGGAUUAGAUACCCGCGUAGUCC
rnacentral:rRNA from 1 species